rnacentral:misc_RNA from 1 species
GAAAUGCGAUAAGUAAUGCGAAUUGCAGAAUCCAGCGAGUCAUCGAAUCUUUGAACGCACAUUGCGCCCGCCAGCACUCUGGCGGGCAUGCCUGUCCGAGCGUCACCCGCUACACGUCAAGCCCGGCUUGUGUUGGGGCGCCGCGGCCGCCGCGGGCCCCGAAAUCCAGUGGCGGGACCGCCGCCGCGCCGAGCGUAGUACAGCGCCUCGCUCCGGCGCGGCGGCGGCCUCUGGCCGUAAAACCCCCACUACAGGAGACACUUGACCUCGGAUCAGGUAGGAAUACCCGCUGAACUUAA